rnacentral:rRNA from 1 species
GUAUACCUACGGGGGCAGCAGUGAGGAAUAUUGGUCAAUGGGCGCGAGCCUGAACCAGCCAAGUCGCGUGAGGGAUGACGGCCCUACGGGUUGUAAACCUCUUUUGCCGGGGAGCAACGGGCGCCACGUGUGGCGCCACUGAGAGUACCCGGAGAAAAAGCAUCGGCUAACUCCGUGCCAGCAGCCGCGGUAAUACGGAGGAUCCAAGCGUUAUCCGGAUUUAUUGGGUUUAAAGGGUGCGUAGGCGGAUUGAUAAGUUAGAGGUGAAAUGUCCGAGCUUAACUCGGGAACUGCCUCUAAUACUG